UACGAAGGGGGCUAGCGUUGUUCGGAAUUACUGGGCGUAAAGCGCGCGUAGGCGGGAUAUUAAGUCAGAGGUGAAAUCCCGAAGCUCAACUCCGGAACUGCCUUUGAUACUGGUAUCCUCGAGUCCGAGAGAGGUGAGUGGAACUCCUAGUGUAGAGGUGGAAUUCGUAGGUAUUAGGAAGAACACCAGUGGCGAAGGCGGCUCACUGGCUCGGUACUGACGCUGAGGCGCGAAAGCGUGGGGAGCAACCAGG
rnacentral:misc_RNA from 1 species